rnacentral:rRNA from 1 species
GGACUACCCGGGUAUCUAAUCCUGUUUGCUCCCCACGCUUUCGCACCUCAGCGUCAAUGCAUCACCAGUUGGCCGCCUUCGCCUCCGGUGUUCCUCCUGAUAUCUACGGAUUUCACUCCUACACCAGGAAUUCCACCAACCUCUCAAGCAUUCAAGAUCUGCAGUUUCAGGUGCAGUUCCCAGGUUAAGCCCGGGGAUUUCACAUCUGACUUGCAAACCCGCCUACGUGCGCUUUACGCCCAGUCAUUCCGAACAACGCUUGCACCCUCCGUAUUACCGCGGCUGCUGGCAC